CUUCCUCAAAGUUGUAUUGCAUAAAAUUUAAACCAAAAACAAAAGAAAAAAAGCCACAUUAACUGGGUUUUUUAAAAGGCAACGUUCUUGUUUUAUCUUUCAGCCCAAGAACUUGCCAGUCAAGAUGAAAAACUUCUUCUAAUGGAAUCCAGCUUGAAAGCUACUCAAGAGCAGCUAACUGAGCAAAUAGCAGAAACAGUUCGCCAAGAACAGAACAGUAGAAAAGCCCAGGCAGAGCUGAAGACAGUGACGGAAGGGAUUAUAGCUUCUGAAGAAGAAAAAAAUGAUUACAAGUGGCCUGAAUUGAUCAAAUAUGCCAAUUGAUUCGGUAUUGGACAGUGCCAGACACCAUGAUGUUCACCAGGCAGAAGAAAGAAAAGCCACAUCAGGUGUCACAAGGAAUGCAUGGAUUAGUGGCUCUUCAUGGCGCCUCCACUGCUCUCUGACCUCAGGAUGCUUCCUGUUGAGUGGGACCACAUUAGCCUGCUGCAGCCAAGAGAAGAUUCUUUGGGACAACAGUGCUUUCUAUGGAGCAGUUUCACUUUUUCCCUGAUGGAUCUGGAAAUCUAACUACUUUUAAAUUCAACUGUAUACUUCCAGACAAGCAAAGGUGCCACAGUGCUAUGUCGCUAAGUUCAAGGGAAUUUAUAUUAGCAUUUAAGAAACAAAUAGGCACAAAAGGAAGCAAAAGAGGGAACAACGUUGAUAAAAUGAAAUAAAGAUGCCGACUUGCAUUUGUACUGCAUUUUAGCUUCGUAUAGACAUUAGAAUUUUAAUUUGUGUUAUCCUAACACAAAUUAAUAUGUAUCAAUUAUUUAGGUUUUCAGGAAGUUCC
rnacentral:lncRNA from 1 species